rnacentral:rRNA from 1 species
CGAGUUUGAUCAUGGCUCAGAUUGAACGCUGGCGGAAUGCUUUACACAUGCAAGUCGAACGGUAGAGGGGGCAACCCUUGAGAGUGGCGAACGGGUGAGUAAUAUAUCGGAACGUGCCCAGUCGUGGGGGAUAACGUAGCGAAAGUUACGCUAAUACCGCAUACGCUCUAAGGAGGAAAGCGGGGGAUCGUAAGACCUCGUGCUAUAAGAGUGGCCGAUAUCUGAUUAGCUAGUUGGUGGGGUAAAGGCUCACCAAGGCGACGAUCCUUAGCUGGUCUGAGAGGAUGAUCAGCCACACUGGGACUGAGACACGGCCCAGACUCCUACGGGAGGCAGCAGUGGGGAAUUUUGGACAAUGGGCGCAAGCCUGAUCCAGCAAUGCCGCGUGCAGGAUGAAGGCCUUCGGGUUGUAAACUGCUUUUGUACGGAACGAAACGGUGAGCUCUAAUACAGUUUGCUAAUGACGGUACCGUAAGAAUAAGCACCGGCUAACUACGUG